rnacentral:rRNA from 1 species
AUGGAUAAGUUUGUUGCAAAAGAACCACACGUAUCCUCUAAUAAUCAAUCACAGGAUCAAGGCCUCACGGUUGAUAAUAAUGUUGACCCUGAUGUUGACAAUGAUCAUAGAGAUGAACAAGCAGAGAAAGAAAAUAAUGAUGAGGUUGAUGAUGAUCUUAUUGGUAAAACAGACAUUGAUAUGGAUAAUAAUGGUGAUGACAUCGGGACAACUAGUAUUGAUGUUAACUCAAAUACUUCACCUGUUGCGGAUGUCAGUGGUUCUUUUCAUGUUAAUAUAUUUGAUCCAAGAAAUUGGGGUUCUCUUGAUCCUAAGCAGAUUGACAUUUUAGCACAAAAGGCCCUAAAAGAGACUCACAAUUUCAAAAAGGUCUUAAGAACAGAUAUUCUAGCAGGGCAUAGAAAAGGUCAAUUGGCAAACGAGGGGUGUGAUGAUUGGAUACAUCUUGGCAGUACACUUAAAGAGCAUGAGACAAGUGUAGAUCAUGUUUUGAAUAUGACCACUUGGUAUGAGCUCUGUACUACUAGAUUGCAAAAGCAUCAAACUAUUGAUAAAGAUGCUCAAGGACAACUUGAGAAUAAAAAGGAGCACUGGAGAAAAAAUUUGUUCAGAAUUGUUUGCAUUAUUAAAUUUCUUGCCAAGCAUAAUCUAGCCUUUCAUGGUAGUAACAGCAAACUGUAUGAAGACAGCAAUGGGAAUUUCUUGGGUCUGUAG